AUUGAACGCUGGCGGCGUGCUUUACACAUGCAAGUCGAACGGCAUCACGAGUGCUUGCACUUGGUGGCGAGUGGCGAACGGGUGAGUAAUACAUCGAAACGUACCGUAUAGAGGGGGAUAACCAAUCGAAAGAUUGGCUAAUACCGCAUAAUCUCUGAGGAGGAAAGGUGGGGACCUGAGAGGGCCUAUCGCUGUAUGAGCGGUCGAUGGUUGAUUAGCUAGUUGGUGGGGGAAAGGCUUACCAAGGCGAUGAUCGAUAGCUGUUCAGAGAGGAAAUGAACACAAACUGGGAUUGAUACCCGGUCCAGAUCCCUACAGGACGAAGCAGUGGGGACUAUUGGGCACUGGGGGGACCCCUGAAUCAGGACCGCGGCCUGAAUGAAGUAGGCCUUCGGGUUGUACACUGCUUUUGUACGAAACGAAACGGCCUUUUAUAAUCAAGAGGGCUAAUGACGGUACCGUAAGAAUAAGCACCGGCUAACUACGUGCCAGCCGCCGCCGUAA
rnacentral:rRNA from 1 species